rnacentral:tRNA from 1 species
CAAAAUGUAACUUAACAAAAGUACCUUGCUUACACCAUGAACAUGUCCGUGAAACUCUGACCAUUUUGA